AGUUUUGGGGGGGAAAUUUAGGGUUAUUUGAAAUGAGUGAUUCUAGUGGAGGAAUCCUGUUGCUCAAAAUGAAGGAACCAAUCCUCAAAAUGAAGAACCCGAAGCUCAAAACAAUCAGGGAAUUGUCGUGAUGGUAAUCAAAAUCGUGGUUGUGGAGUCUGUGGCUCGAGCUGAUUGCUGCCAUCGAUGGUCAUUGUACUGAGAAGAGAUAUUGAGGAUUACUCGAGUCUGCGUUGAGCAUUGGGUUGCUGCCAGCGAUAAAAGGUAAUGGAUGAAUGAUGAUCGGAAUAUGAUUGUUGCUGUCAUUGGCAAGCAUGGCAGCAAUGGAGCUCAGGUGAUGGAAGAGACGAUAAUGGAGUUCGAGUAGAGUUUGGAGCCGCGACUUCGAUGCCAGUGAUGAUGGAUGAUCGGUGGUGAUCGUGAUGAUGAAGGGUGGUGCUGUUGUUCAUGGAUUCUUGGAGCUCGAGUUUGAGUUGUUGCUGUCACUAGCUACUGAAGGCAGUGAAGAUGAGCAUUGAGAUGCUGUCAUUAUUUACAGUAGAUGAUGGAUCAUAUGAGAACAAAUUGCUGCCAUCGUGAUCAGAGAUCGGGAGCUCGAGUUGGACAGAAUGAUAGAAAGAAGAGCAGCAGGGAUUUUUGGUGGUUAAUUGACUCGAGAAGAGUAGUUUGCUUUCUCUGAUGGUUCGAAACUGUGGUGGUUAUCGGUGAUCGAUGGCAUGGAGAACUGAGAAGAAGAACUCGAGCAUGGCAGUGAUGAAAAUGGGUCGAUGGAAGAAUGAUUUAUGAUGCUGCCAUUAAUGUAAAGCCAUGGAAGAGUUUCUAGUGAAUAUAUCAUUUAAACUCAGUUGAGUUCACCGAGAGAUAAUAGGUUUGUCGAGAUUUGUGGCGCUGUGGCUAAUGAGCCAGGGAAGAACGGUGAAUAGAUUAUUUGGAGAGACGACAAUAAAUGAUUAACCGGUGAGUGAUUGGUAGUUGGCUGCUGUUGUGGAAAAAGAUGGAAAAUAGAGUUUAGCUGAGAAGAGAUGGAAGUCAGGGACGCGACAAAGUUGAGCUGAAAAUUUGGAAUUCAUUUUCGUUGCAUAAGAAGUGUUUUCCUGCCGGUAAAAAUGAUUUUAUAAUCAACAACAAGCUGAAAAUAAUUUAAUCUUAAGUUUUUAAACGAGCUUAUUAUACUUGCAUGAUGGUGGGAUGAAGUGGUUAAAUGCAUAUGGACGCAUCCGUAAUCUUCAAGCUAUAUCUUAUAAAGCAACUAUUGCGUCUUUUUUAUCGAAGUGAUUGAAUGUCGAUAUGCAUACGGUAUGGCUGCAUCAUUUCUUAUUUCUUUGCUCCAUGUGUUUGUUUGGCGUACUCCAAAUGCAUCCUAAUCAAGCAUUUGGGGAAAAUGGGUGUAGAACGGCUUCAUAUGAUUCGACAUGCAUUUUAAUGCUAAUCUGGCUUGUCUUGGACCGCUGCAGGUCAGGUAGGAGUUGGGAAUAUUUAGACA